UAAUGGUGAUUAUAGCGCGGGUGUUCACCUCUUCCCAUUCCGAACAGAGAAGUUAAGCCCCGUGGCGCUGAUGGUACUAGGAUAACACCCGGGAGAGUAGGUAGUCGCCAACCU
rnacentral:rRNA from 1 species